GACGAACGCUGGCGGCGUGCUUAACACAUGCAAGUCGAACGGAAAGGCCCUGCUUUUGUGGGGUGCUCGAGUGGCGAACGGGUGAGUAACACGUGAGUAACCUGCCCUUGACUUUGGGAUAACUUCAGGAAACUGGGGCUAAUACCGGAUAGGAGCUCCUGCUGCAUGGUGGGGGUUGGAAAGUUUCGGCGGUUGGGGAUGUACUCGCGGCUUAUCAGCUUGUUGGUUGGGUAGUGGCUUACCAAGGCCUUGACGGGUAGCCGGCCUGAGAGGGUCACCGGCCACAUUGGGACUGAGAUACGGCGCAGACGCCAACGGGAGGCAGCGGGGGAGAAUAUUACACAAUGGGAGGAAGGAUGAUGCAGCAAAGCCGCGUGCGGGAAGACGGCCUGGGGGUUGUGAACCGCAUUCGCCUGAGACGAAGCGUGAGUGACGGUAAUGGGUAAAGAAGCACCGGCUAACUACGUG
rnacentral:rRNA from 1 species